rnacentral:rRNA from 1 species
CGAGUCGCUACUCUUUUAGAGUGAGCGGCAAACGGGUGAGUAACGCGUGGGAAUNUACCCAUUUCUACGGAAUAACACAGNGAAAUUUGUGCUAAUACCGUAUACGUCCUUUUAGGAGAAAGAUUUAUCGGAGAUGGAUGAGCCCGCGUUGGAUUAGCUAGUUGGUGAGGUAACGGCUCACCAAGGCGACGAUCCAUAGCUGGUCUGAGAGGAUGAUCAGCCACACUGGGACUGAGACACGGCCCAG